UUCAAUCCAGUACAUUGGGUGCCUACAUAAAAGUACAUAUCGGCAACUCCUAUAACAAUGCACAACGUGUGUACGAGUAAAAUAGGCCGCCUCACCAGUGAUGGGCCGCUCAGCGCUCAUGAGCGCGCGCUCUUAGUGCGCUCAGGGGUUUUCAGUGAGUGGGAGCGCGAGCGCGAGCGCAUGAUUUACAUCUUGAGCGGAGCGGUGAGCGUGAGCGUACAAUUCAUGCUGAGCGCACUCUUUUUCUGCGCUCAGGCCGCUCAGAAAUUCUUUUCCAAAAGGGGCAAAAUCCAAAAAAAGUUGGCAUUUUUUUACUUGUAUCCCGCGUUUUUCGUUUCUGUUUCAUCUUUUUACAUUUUAGUUCGUAUUAGUUUAGAUUCAAAUUUGAAAAAAAUCGAAAAAUGAGCAUAUUACGUAUGUGAGCGUGAGCGCAUUUGAGCGCGCGCUCAAACAACCUGAGCGCAACAAUGAGCGGGAGCGCUAAAAUGAACACCCUGAGCGGAGCGCGAGCGGGAGCGUUAUGAAUGUGGUGUGAGCGUGAGCGGAGCGCGAGCGCAAAAAACCUUGAGCGGCCCAUCACUGCGCCUCACUAUGGGUAUCCCAGGGGCCAGAUCCCUGAAUGUUGAACGAAUUACGCGAUAACGCGAAGUUUAAGAAAGAACGAUACUGCCGUAUCUAUUCUAUUUUCCAUACUCGUUCACCGUUUAAGUACUUGCAAUAGGUACCUGCCUACCUGGGUGUUUUUCAAUAGGUUUUUCUCGCUGCGCUGUCGCGUUGUCAACCAGCUGUGAACUGAAGUUAUCGUCCACGUCUGUAAAAAUGGAAUUGUCUAAAAAUCCGGUGUAAACUGAAACAUUUUAAGGAAUGUGCUGGACUUUUAAUACCUAAGUAUGUUUUUUUUUCACACGGAUUUUGGCAGAAUUUCGAGAAUCUGGAGUAUGGCUGAUUUAGAAUCCACUAGAAUCUGCUGAAAGUGAAUCGAUAUGAUGAUCGUUCCGGCAUUGUUAUAAAUUUCACCACUUGUGGAAGCGUAGAUAACCAACAUCUUGGACAAAACUCAACUCAGACAACACCACCAAUCCAGUAAUGUUGAAACAUGAUUUCAAUUUUAGAAGAAGUUCAUAAUUCAUGACUAUAUUUACAGUAUUCACUGAACGAUAGGCCAUGGCACACCUCACAGUAUUAGUACCUAAACAAACAAAAAAAGAACCAUGUCACCCAACUAUUUCGAUUCAGGCUAUUAAUGAAAUUUGUGAAACUCUGAAACAUUUUAAUUUCAAAGAUAUCGCUACUACGCUAUAAGUGUAAGGUGUACCUGUUAAUGAUUCGAUAAUGAUGAUUAAAAUAGGUAUGUAUAUGAUGACGGUAAGGUAAGGUUGAACAGUAACAUAAGCACUUGUAUUGAAAUUAGUACCCACUACCAUAUCUAUUUUUCGCGCUGGGCAUGUGUGCGAAAAUCCGACCGUAAUGUGACGCUCAAUUCAUGGAAACAACACCAAAAUUAUGAAAAUAGCUUAACUUUUGAUAUAUGUAUAGUAAAAAUUGAGGUUGAGGCGGAGGCACUGGAGGGGUGUGGAUGAGGGUAAUAUUAAAUUGGACGUCAUAUUCGUGUUCGGGGGGGGGGGGGGUCGAUUCAUAUGGAAAUGACCCCAACAUUACGAAAAUAUCUGAACUUUCAAUAUACUGAAACUUGAAAGUUGAGUUGAGUUGGGGGCAGUGGCACUGGAGGGGCGUGGAUGAGGAUAGCAUAAAAUUGGACUUCACAUUCGUGUUCGGGGUAUUCGAGUCUUAUGAGAAUGACACCAACAUUAUGAAAAUAGCUCAACUUUCAAUAUAGUAAAAAUUGAGGUGAGGGGCAGAGGCACUAGACGGGUGUGGAUGAGGGUAACAUUAAAUUGGACGUCAUAUUCGUGUUUGGGAGGUUCGAUUCAUAUGGAAACGACACCUCGUUUACCAAAAACAAUACUUUACACCAGAAUCCAUUUUUACCCCCCUCGAUUCUCUUCUUUACACUUCCAAGAAACUAUCGAUGAAAUUUUUUAAAAGUUGAGAUCAGAAAAACUGAAUUCUCACAUUAAAAUUGAUAUUGUUCUACUUUUCAAACUACAAAUUUUUCAAAUUUUUCACCCUGGCUUUGCUCGGGUCUGUUUUGUUGUUUUCUACGCAGUUCCCAUUUCAAAAAAACCUAUGAUUGAAUUUGAAAAAUGUUAAAAUCAGAAAAACAGAAUAGAUAGUUUGCGAAAAACUUUGUCUGGCUGUUUUUGGCGAGGGGAGAGUGGUAAGAAAAUCAGGGAGAGUUGGAAAAAUAAGGGGAAAAUCUUGAUAAGUUGAUACUGAAAAUUAUCCUAGUUGUGUUUGCGUAGCUCUAAAAAAUUCUUAAAAUAAUCCCUGGUUGAAGAUGUUGUAUGAUUCGCAUUCUAAUGAAAAAAGAAAAAAAAGUCGAACUCCAAUUUUUAGGUAAUUUUUGAUAACUGGUUGCUAAUUAAUGAACCGACUUCAAAAUCCAAUCAGCAAAAAUAGUUCAAUUUUUCACGCUCUACAACUUUUGUUUCAAGCUUUUUCUCUAUCUCCAAUUUUUAGUUGAUUGUCAAAUACUGGUUGCUAAAUGCGAACCAGUGAACUGGUUUCAAAAUUUGAUUAGACAGAAUUGUGUAAUUUUUCACGCUCUACAACAGUACAACUUUUGUUUCAAGCUUUUUUCUCUAUCUACAAUUUUUGGGUAUUUUUUGUUACUGGUUGCAAACUAAUGAACCGGUUUUAAAAAAUUCAUAUCGCGUUUUUGUCGCCUUAGUGUGUAGAAUACAUUCAAUACCACCUAUAGUAAAAGGCCUGAGCGCUGUUUUGUGACGUCAUCACUAAUAGAUAGUAUGUACUCCGAUAACGCUAUAGAAAUUAAUGAAAUAUUAAUGCACUAGAACGAAAUAAAUACUGAGAACAUUUUAUUUUGCGUUUUGAAUCACAUUCUGAUACUUAAUAAUCAAUUUGAGAUCAAGAGGGAAUGAUUUGAAUGGAAAAAUAAGUAAAUAUAAGCUCAUAAUCAACACUGUUUUCAUCAUUAAAGAUGAGAACUACACUCAUUUACGAUCUAAUUUCUAAAAGAAUAUCAAGAAAAACCUGAAAAACUCUGGAGGAUGACAGCUGACAAUGAGGAAUAUAGCAAAGAAGUACAACACAUACAAAUUAUUGUAAAUAUUACCGAAUAUACGCGAACAUAAUCUCCAACUCAAAGACUAAGGUAUACAAAACGAUCACCAAACAUUGCAUACAUGACGGAGAUUUCUCUCGAAAUUCUUUGCAAACAUUGUAUUUAUGCCUGUUGAAAUCCAUCCUAAGUAUUUUGGAAUUUAAAGCUGCUUCAAUUGGUUUGAGAUACUGAUGAUUUCUUGUUUAAUAUCCAUUAUCCAUCAUAGCAGCUUUAGCAUGGCUGGUCUAAGAAGUAGAUUUGAAAAUUAAAAUGUAUUGUAGAUUUUUCUCCAACUUGAUGCGAUUGCAUUGUUCACUAACUACUUAUUUCAUUACAACAUCAUUCCGGUACAACACACUAGUACACAUUAAUUUUCAUUUUAAUCUACAGUUUACAUCACUAUUCAUUCAAAUUACACAACACAAACGAGUCGCAAAAAAUUAAUUUUUGUACACAAAUCAAAUAAACCAACACCAUCUGUAAUUGAAAACAUCAGUACCACAUUACUAGAACACAUUUUAUGACAAAUAUUAAUUGAAUUUCAUAAUUUAAAUAACUUUUUUAACGAAAGUUUUACUCAAUUUCACGAAUUCGCCAUUUAAACAUACGUUAAAAUUCAAA